UGAAUACUCCCUCCGUCCGGAAAUACUUGUCCGAGAAGUGCAUAAAAAUGAAUGUAUCUAGAACUAAAAUACAUCUACAUACAUCCAUUCCUCCGACGAGUAUUUCCGGACGAAGGGAGUAGUAA
rfam:Triticum urartu cultivar G1812 contig691778, whole genome shotgun sequence.